UACGUAGGGUGCGAGCGUUGUCCGGAAUUACUGGGUGUAAAGGGUCCGCAGGCGGGCAAGUAAGUCAGAGGUGAAAUGCUUCGGCUCAACCGAAGAAAUGCCUUUGAUACUGCUUGUCUUGAGUUCGAGAGAGGAUAGUGGAAUUCAUGGUGUAGCGGUGAAAUGCGUAGAGAUCAUGAAGAACACCAGUAGCGAAGGCGGCUAUCUGGCUCGAUACUGACGCUCAGGGACGAAAGCGUGGGUAGCAAACAGG
rnacentral:rRNA from 1 species